rnacentral:rRNA from 1 species
AGAGAGAGACAUGCGCGCAUAUCAAUAAGCGGAGGAAAAGAAACUAACAAGGAUUCCCUUAGUAACGGCGAGUGAAGCGGGAAGAGCUCAAAUUUGAAAUCUUCAAGGUUUUACCUUGACGAAUUGUAGUUUAAAGAAGUGUUUUCUGCUGAAGUUUUGGUAAAAGUUCUUUGGAAUAGGACAUCAUAGAGGGUGAGAAUCCCGUAUUUGACCAUUAUUUUCAGCUUUGUGAUACACUUUCAAAGAGUCGGAUUGUUUGGGAAUGCAGUCCAAAAUGGGUGGUAAAUUUCAUCUAAAGCUAAAUAUUGGCGAGAGACCGAUAGCGAACAAGUACCGUGAGGGAAAGAUGAAAAGAACUUUGAAAAGAGAGUUAAACAGUACGUGAAAUUGUCAAAAGGGAAGCGUUUGACACAGUGUUGUUUUCUCGAAAAUCAAUUAAAAAUGGCUCGAUUUUGUAUUGUUGAGACCUUAAAAGCUCACUGUACAUUUUUCGUGUCUUUUUUAAUGCACUUUUCGUUUAACAAGUCAACAUCAGUUUCUUUUGUUGUAAAAGGGUCAUUGGAAGGUGGCUUUCUUUUCGGAGAAAGUGUUUAUAGCCUUUGGCCUCUGCAAUCGGAGAGACUGAGGUCUGCAGCGUAGACUCUUCGGGGUUAGAUACAUUUGUGCUAAGUUAUAGCUUUUUAUAGACAACUUGUUGACUAUAAUUAGUCUUGUAGCUUACUCGCUUAUGCUAUUUUACCUACGCUUAGGAUGUUGAAGUCAUCGUAUCGCGC